rnacentral:rRNA from 1 species
UACGUAGGGUGCGAGCGUUAAUCGGAAUUACUGGGCGUAAAGCGUGCGCAGGCGGUUGGUUAAGUCUGAUGUGAAAGCCCCCGGGCUCAACUUGGGAAUGGCAUUGGAAACUGGCUGGCUAGAGUGUGGCAGAGGGGGGUGGAAUUCCGCGUGUAGCAGUGAAAUGCGUAGAGAUGCGGAGGAACACCGAUGGCGAAGGCAGCCCCCCUGGGCUGACACUGAC